UUUAGACAGCCUGCCCUUCAAAUGAUUGAGUGUUGAAGGAACAAAGCCUCUUGCCAUUAUGUCCCUGAAGGCCCUGAUAAAAGGAGAGGCUCUGAGGAGAGACGAGGGGAAGAGAGACCCCAGGAGAAGCAGCCCAUCUUGCCGUCUUGAGUGAACCUCACAGACCUGGAUGCCCUGUCUGGCUGAGGGCAGUCACCAGGGAGCAAGUGCCUGGCCUGG
rnacentral:lncRNA from 1 species